AGCUAGAUGGCGCAGUGGUUAGCACACUGGACUCGCAUUCGAGAGGACGGCGGUUCAAAUCCGCGUCCGGCCA
rnacentral:tRNA from 1 species